rnacentral:tRNA from 1 species
GCCUCUCUAGCACAGGGAUAGUGCACCGGUUUCGUACUCCGGCGACGGGAGUUUGAUUCUCCCGGGAGGCUCCA